rnacentral:snoRNA from 1 species
AUCCUUUUGUGGCUCACAACCUUAAUGAUUCGGUUUUUAUGCCACAUGUGAGACCUCCUUCAAGCCUUAUUCUGUGGGAACAUGACUCAUCUGACA